GGGGCCGGCCCGCCCGCCUGCGCGCCGCCGUGGGAGGGGAGGGAGGGGAGCGGCGGGGGCGCGCUCAGGCGCGGGCGGCCGCCGCCACCAUCUUCCUCACGGGGGGACACGGGGGCGGGCUGGGGGGGGGGGGCGCGGGCGCGCGCCCCCGCCGGCCAAUGGAGCGCGGCGCCGCGGCGGGAGCGCGCACCCCCCCCCCUUCCCGCCCGCCCUCUUCCCGGCCUGAGGGGCGCGGGGCGGGAGCCGCUCCCCUCGGACACGCACGGGCCCGCAGGGCCCCGGGCGCGCCCCUUUCCCCUCAGAGACGGGCCCGGGCGGGCAGGCGGGACUUCUCCCCUCCGUGAGGCAGCGACGCUCCCCCCUCGCCGCGGCCGCUCCUCGCCGGUAGCGGGCGGGGAGGGCUGACAGGGACGGGACGGCGCGGGGUUACCGGCGGCUGGAGCCGGGCGGGUCCCUCAGGGUGUCCGUGUCCCGUCCCGUCCCUCCCCCGCGGCGCGGCCUCUCGCCGUGCGCUGCCCCCGCGGCCGCCCUCCCCACCGGCGAUGGGUGCCUGCCGGCGGGUCCCAUCGGCGCCUUUAGGGCCGUGUUUGUUCACGGGGGGCUGGGGGGGAAAGGCCGCCGUCGGCACGGCUGACAUUUGCCAUGCGCAGACAACAUGCACUUCAGCAAACAACUCAACCUUUCCGCAUCCCCGCAGCCUGCCGGACUUGCAGGCUUAUUUUUCUCCUCUUUCUUCGCUUGUUUAUAACUGACGCUAUCUCGCCUGCACCGCUCCCUCAAUUUCAUUAUCUCUUCCUCCCCAGGCGGCCCGUAUCUUUCCUUCCUUCGCAGAGUUUCUCUCUGCGCUUGCUUCAGCUCCUUCCCCUCCUCUUCCCAGCUCCCCAGCCCUCACCCUUGCUCACAGGUGAGCCUUUCCCAGCUGGCUGCCCACAAAGCACUCCAGCGGCCCUUCCUCCAGCGGCACUUCUUACCCAGCAGCGAGCCCCUUAUCCUCUGAAGACGGCGUCAUUCGGAUGAUGAAUUUAUUUAAUCUGGAGGAUUAAAUAAGUACGACAGCUUCCAAGGAUUCAAAGAUAUUGUAGAAGUUUGGUGGAAAAAAGGAAAAAAGUUUUUUACCUCAAUGGCAAAGAAUUUAAGCUUUUGUUCACUGGUUCGAAGGACAGUGAAGUGGGACCGAAGAAGGCAUCUGACUUGUGAAAACCCUCCUUUGGAGGAGUUUAACCCCAUGGAAUAUAAUACAGCCAGCGUGUCCUUCCAAGGCAGCAUCUGUGUGGGUAAUGUCUGUAGCAUCCUUUAAGGUAGAUGCUUCCUCUUGGUCACUUUCUUAGCAACAAUAGUUAGCACAUCUUGGUAGAGCUGGGAGCUACCACACAGUAUUGAUUUUGAGUCCCAGGUUCGUUUUAGUGUCUGGUAGUUCUGGGUUGUGCUGUUUUCCUGCAGAGAACUCUGACUGCCCUUCCAAAGUACUCUGUGACUGGUUUCCUUUCUCAGAGACCGAGUUAGAGGAAACAUUUUACAGAGCAAUAGCUGAGCAAAUGCAUAUCCUACUUGCCCAUUUCUUUUAACUUCAUGCUGCUAAAUAUACAUAUUUAGUCUAUAGAAUUGAAUUUACUUCCCUUCUCAGAGGCACAGCUUUGUCAGCUCUAAUGAUUAGCUUUUGUUUGAUGUUCAUAAUAUUGUGCUUCACUGCUUAUCUGAUGGAGCUGUGCGAAACUAUUUAGGGGGGGUUCUGAAAUGUGACAACCCACAUGAUGCUUUUUUAGACUUCACAAACCGCCUCCAUGGGGCAGAAGAAUAUGACAUGGGAACUGCUGGCUAGAACAACAGCGUAUAUUAAUGCCAAUAUAAUUGGUGUAGACGGGGAGGAGGAGUGCUAUUUAGAAGUUUGUGGCUUUUAUUGUAUACUGUCAAAGGAAAACUUAUAGCCUGAAAGAAAAGGCAUCAUGGAUGCCAUGGAUGAGACUAUUGAUCCUGUCUGGCUCUGGAACAGCAUAAAUACUGGAGGAAAUGUGUUAAAACCUGUUUUGUCCAUCCACAGACAGAAAGGCUCAAGGGAGACAGCUCAGAUGCUCCAUUCCUACUUUCUUACCUUAAUAAAUAGCAGGAUCUCACUUUCUGGCAAACUUCUGCAUCUGCAUCCUUGCUGAUGUGUGCAGCAUUCAUUAUGAGCUUUGUUUUGAAUCCUGAUAACCUCUAGAUGAAAGAACUUAUGUUAUGGAUUUAAAAAAAAAAAACCGGCUUUUCUGACUUCUGUUCACAGACUAACAGCUAAACAUUAGAAAAUAUUUUGGAAGAUUGUUACUCCUCCAUGGUUUUUAAAAUUGGAAAAGUAUCACAAUGCUUAUUUCACUUUUCCAUAAAAGAAGAGCACCAAGAUUACCUUUGACAUCUUUUCCAUAUGAAGCCACGGAAGCUGAGUAAGUGGUGCAUUCUUCUCACUUCCUCGGGGUAGCCAGGUUGGUUUUGUGUUCUGUAUUUUCACCCUUCCGAAGUUGCAGUUGAAAUUAUUCAUAUUACUGACACGAUUUCAUAUCCCAGAUGAGAUGCAUAGAUAAAAUAAGCGAGUAAGCAGUAGAAGAUCUUUUUAUGUGACUGGGACCUCAAGAGAGAGGGUAAAACCUGGCCCAGCUGAGUGGGAAUCACUGGCUCCCAUAGGACUAGGAUUUUUCUUGCAGGCUUUAUGGUUGUCUCAUUCGAGUGGUCUUCUACACUGAAAGCAAUGCAGACUAUACCACUUAUUUGGCAAAACGUGUGCCACCAGGAGGUGGCUUCACUCAAACAUACAUUUCUGUAAGAUGAAGACAAACUUAAAAUUUAUUGCUCAUUCCAUUCAUAACCAAAAGUUCUCCUGGCUUGCCAAGCUGCUGAAUCAGCUUGGGUACCUCACCCUUGAGUCAGCAAAGCCUGAAAUAGAAACUUGCUCUGUUUCCGAAGAAAGGAAGUACCGCUGUUGUCUGCAAAUACAGCCGCAUCUAACGUGCUUUCAUAACUACGAACACUUGGUGGAGAAAUUUGCAUGACACUCUGCUUCUUAAUUAAAAAAAAAAAAAAAAAAGGUGGGGGUGAAAAAAGGCUGUUAAGCUUGCUAUGAAUGGGGCUGUCUGAGCAUGGAAGAACCAAGGAAUAAACAGCACAGCAAGAGAAGGACUGUACCAGUGGCAGUCACUGAUGUCACCUAGACUAGCCCAGCAUCAAGUUCCCACUCCAUCUACUUGCAGCUUCUCAGGACAUUCAAAUUAGGGAGACAAGGCUAUUAGGCUACAACCAGGCUAAAGCAAAGUCUUAAGCCAUUAGGAACUGAUGGCAAGAAGACAGGGUAGAAGCUAUAAAACACUGACUGGAGAUCAGCUACAGCGGUGCUCAUCCAGGAUUCCCAAAGUAGAGUUGAAUCACUCUCGCUGCCAUGCCGCAACUCCACUUUAUAGCCCAGCAUAAAAUAGUAAAAAACGGUGAAAAUGACCAACAGUUGCAGUCAAAUAGUGGAAAGUGACACUGAAAGUCAUCAGCAGGACUUCUGUGAGUAGGUGGAAGGCAGUAAAAAGGCAUGUAAAAAUAGUGCCUAUGUGAUAUAAAUUAGGGAGGAGUUUCUGUGGUUCCAAGUCAGGCCAAGAAGGAGAAAAAUAAUCAUAGUGUUAAUUAACUUGCCCGUUCUACCCUUCUCAAGUUGUUCAGUUUUUUUAUCUUGCAGAUGUAGCAUCAGUAAUUUUUAGCAUCAUACAAAAGGACACCCAUUAAAAAUAAAGUUUCAGGGGGCUGCCAAGCAGAUGCUUGUUGUGUGCCGCCUUCCCAUGAGUGGUCCUUCAUGUGUGCUGCAGGACGGUCUCAUGUUCUUCCUGCUCCAAGCAAAUGACUGCUGCUGGCGCUUCCAUGAGAAGUCUUCUGAACUGGCUUUACCUUCCAUAAAGAGCAGGCCAUUCUGGUGGGCAAAACCAGUAACGCCUUUCAAACCCUGAGCAGAUGAGAUGUGCAGCUAUUACUGGCCUGGGAGGAAAAAACCCCUUUGCCUUGGAGAAAGUCCAGAUGUAUUUUACUUCCUCUGGAAACUUUUCCUCCGUCUCCUCUGAAGGAAGGGCUGGAUGCCCAUGUGCUGUUCUUCUGUGCUGCAACGUGACCUGCUCCCCUCUAGCUGUGAAGAUCUUGUACAUGCUCCUUUACCUGUGUAACAUCAUAAUUAUAUGAUCUUGCAAAAUAAGGUUUUGAAGCCAACACUAUAGAGAAACAGAAAAUCUUUCUAUUCUCACAGCUCACUUAUUACAUCCUGUCUUCAUAGCACAGUUUCUAUGGGAAGAUCCUGAUGGAUAGGGGAGUUCUCUUUUACGGGAGCAGCAAAAGGACCCUCAGAAUGAAAUUAUUCUAAACUAGUCUAACUAUUCAGAGCUAAACUAGCCUAAUCUAUUCAUAUAACCUUGCAGGCAAGUUUCCUCCUAGGGUGACACUUGAUACAGGAUUUUCCUGCAGUACUAUAGAGGAAACAAUAGAGAGUUGGAAAAAUUGUCAUUUCUGCAAUGGGUAUGAAUGUUGCAACACACAAUUUUACCAUUUUCUGAUUUUUGCAAGAGUGCAGUUGCAUAUUGCAACACAUUUUAUAUUUAGUGUUUUGGAUUAUUCAACCAAAAAGAGGUGGGGAUGAGACUUUACCAGCACAAUAACAGGCUUAUGCAAUCACCUGGUGCACAUGCUGCAGGUUUGGAAGAAAGACCUGCUGCAAAUCCACAGAAAACCCUAGCUAGGGGACUGUAAGUGCUGCAAGGAAUUACACAAUGUGAAACUUAGUGAAACAUUUGCUAUGUGUGCACCAAGCCCUUUUUAAAUUUGGGUUUCUGGGGAGAAGAGAAUUGCUGUGGCAUUUCUGUGACUUGAUCCCUUGUCUCAGUUGAUCUGCGACAGAAAGGUGACCCCGAGUGCUGCUGAGCUGGGAACGGAGAUGGGGACAGCCAUCGCCGUCUGAGCUGAGCAUUCGCUUGGAGAGUAACAGAGCGUUCCCAACUGCAUCCCGGAAUAGAUUCACUUUCUCAUCCCCUGGCUCAGGCUGUCACAAUGUAUUUUAACUACAAAUCUGUUAUUCUGCGCUGUGGGUGCCAGAAUAAUUUUAAAAAAUAACCCAACUCAGUAAUACUGGCUUUUUGGUGAUUUUCUUUUUUUUUUUCUUUUCCCCGGAAAGGGUAGAAAAGAGCAUUCUUCUUGGCUGUACCUGAGAUUUCACCUGUAUGGCUGCAAAUCCCAUGCUGUCUAGGAAUAUAGAUGACCUCCACUACUCCAAACGGAGCAGAUAUAUCAGAGCAGUUCAGCAAUGAUGUGACAAGUGUGAAGUGGAAGGCAUUGAAAAACCUGGCUGCUUAGACUGGGAGACACCGAGUUCAUCACUUUGCUACAGCCUCAAACUUCUUCUUACAAGCCAGAAAUGCGGGCAGGGCUCUCGGAGAGGUCAUCAUCUUCCUAACCUCAGCCAGGCUGCAAACCAGCCCGCAACCCACCUGCUUCCCCUAAACGAGCAGCGUGCUUCAUUAACCGCAGAAACUUCAGCAACGCCCAGUCACUGCCUUGAUUUUCCCAGUGAGGCAAGGCAUGGCAGGAAUGAUUUAGCAUUGUUCAUGGGUGGAUGUCUCUGUCUUCGAGAGAACAGAGCUAAAGCCGGGAGCCCACCACUUCUGUGCCGCUCAGCAUUCUAGAAGAGGAUGAACAUAUAGAGUUUUGGGGCUGAGGUCUUAUUUCAAUUAUAUAUUAGGCUGAAUAGUUAACACCCCAUUUAUAGUAAUAAAGGAUGCUCCUAGUGCCUACAGAUACUGCUUUACUUAGCAAAAGCAGCCAAAUCUACCAGACUGUGGUGUUGGAGGACUUUAUAUAUAGCAAAUAGUAACUGUCUUUAAUUAGCUUUAUUUACACAAUAGAUGCCAAUGUUGAACUCUCUAAAUUAAAAGGGCAGAACGUCCUUAUUGGGAAAUGUGAUUUUUGAAGCCUAACAACUUAAAAACAGCAGGAGGGUUUUUACUCAGACUGCCUGGGGAGAAAAAUCACCUUUGGCUCAACAAAACAGGAAGAAUUUCAAGCCCACAGCAGAAGUUUUUCAAGAAACUAAUGAAAAUGGAGGAUUAUAGUUUAAACUGUUUUGCAAUCGCUGGCCUGAAUCCUGCAGACACUUUUUACAUGUACUUAACUUUAUAUACGUGGUUAGUUUUGCUGACCUGCAUGGGAUUAUUUACACGUGUAGAUAUAAGUACAUGCCUGAAUGUUUACAGAGUGGAAUUUAAACUGUAGCAUUUGUUACUGAAAAAAUGACAUUAUGUCAAUAUCUCCAUAAUUGGCUCAUUGAGAUUCUUUAUGUUAGGAAAAAAAAAGCUGAGAAAUUCAGGAAUUAGGAUUCCUGAGGCGGUCUCAGAUCUGCUCCCUCAUGUGAAUAGGAUCUUUUGUUGUGCCGGAUCACAGCAUUGGGCCACAAAACUUAUUUAGCAGCUAUUUAAAAAACCCCCGACCUUUAUAUAGUUUGAAUCUACUGCUCAUAGGAAGAUAUUGUCUGCAUUUCUUUCUACUCUCUAAUGUAUAUCAAAGCUAAAAAAGUAACUGAGACUGAAAGGUUUCCCCUCAUCAAUGGGAAGCAAGUAAUUGAAAAAAAAAUUUUUUAAAUAAUUUUUCUAAAAUUUAUUUUAUUUUAAAAUUUUUUUUUUUUAUAUCAUGGGAGUACAUUCUACCUGCCAUGAAGUGUCUUGUUGAAACCCCCUGAAACAGGAAUAAAUCACCUCUGCAAACUGUA